UGUUGCGAAGCUCUUAUAUUUUACCUUUCUGACACUCGACGAUAGUUCAACGAUAAAGACGUGGCCGUUUACAAUGCAGAACAAAUAUCUGAUUUGGGAAUAAAUUACUCUUUUUGAGUCGGUUGAACCGGUCUGAAUAAUCGACGGAAUCGUCCGUUCUCAUCUGAAUCAGUCGGGCGGUUCCUUCAGACGACACAGGAACCUUUUCGCGCGCAUUUAGCCAGUUGUACAUCCUCACUCUUUGACACUGUUUCAGGAUUCAGGAGUUGUUUGAGAUUAACAGAACUAAGUAAAAGUAUUCAUAUGUUUACUAGUCUGCAGUCCGAAGAUAAAGCCAAAAGAUCCUUACCAAGACAUCAAACAUAUUCAGUGAAUGAGACCAAUGAGUAUGAGCUGAAGAAAGUGUCUACAUCCACAUCAGGGAUGGGCAACUGGCGGCCCGCCACGUGACGGCCCGCUGGACAUUUGAAAAGCAG